rnacentral:rRNA from 1 species
UGCAGUCGAACGAAGUAGCAAUACUUAGUGGCAGACGGGUGAGUAAUUUGAGGGUAUCUGCCCUUUGGCCUGGAAUAACACGAGGAAAUUAGUGCUAAUACCGGAUAAGUCUUUACGGAGAAAGCUUUAUGCACCAUUGGAUGAGCCCGCACUUGAUUAGUUUGUUGGUAGGGUAAUGGCCUACCAAGACUAUGAUCAAUAGCUGAUUUGAGAGGAUGAUCAGCCACAUUGGGACUGAGACACGGCCCAAACUCCUACGGGAGGCAGCAGUGGGGAAUCUUGCACAAUGGAGGAAACUCUGAUGCAGCGAUGCCGCGUGAGUGAAGAAGGCCUUUGGGUUGUAAAGCUCUUUCGUCGGGGAAGAAAAUGACUGUACCCGAAUAAGAAGGUCCGGCUAACUUCGUGCCAGCAGCCGCGGUAAUACGAAGGGACCUAGCGUAGUUCGGAAUUACUGGGCUUAAAGAGUUCGUAGGUGGUUGAAAAAGUUAGUGGUGAAAUCCCAGAGCUUAACUCUGGAACUGCCAUUAAAACUUUUCAGCUAGGGUAUGAUAGAGGAAAGCAGAAUUUCUAGUGUAGAGGUGAAAUUCGUA